UUCAGAUUUUUUUCAGCGCCCUUAUCUCCUACGCGCGUGCUCAUCGAUCCAUUUCAGCUGCCGCGCGUCCCUGCGGUCUUCCAGCUCCAGCGUCGGCUGCUCCUCCCUGGCCACCCGCGCCCCUUGCUUCUCCCUUCUCACGCUCCCCGUCGAGCUCCCUGGUCGCCGCGCAGUCGAGCUCCCUCAGCUCGCUCCUCCUGUGCCGCGCGCCAGCCCCUGGUUCGGCUCUACUCCUCCCUGCUUGCCGUUCCUAUCCCCCUGCCAUGGAGUCCGUCGUCAGUCCGAGCUCGCCCAUCCUCUGCUCGGUUUCAACUUGGUCGUGCCUGCAGCUUCUCCCAUAGUGAGCUCCCUCCACUGCCCUAGGUUCCCAUGGUGAGCUCCCUCCACUGCCCUAGGUUUGUCAAGCGCUACCUCUACUCCAUCUCUUCCUGCUCGAAUCUUGCUGAUUGGCCCUGCGCAGAUUAUCCUCAUGCCCGACCACGGUACAACAGCAACAGCCAUGAAACCCCUUCGUGUCGCGCCCUCGAUAUGCUCGAUGAAAUACCGCAGCGAGCUCCGCUCCGGAUCUGCGCAGCCCCGGCCUUGUUGUCGACCUCAGUGAGCACCUGCUGCUGCCUAGCUGUUUUUGCGCUCUAUGUGUUUGAUAAAAUGAAAGUCAUGUGAAUUGAUUGUGUGCUUGAUUAUGAAGUAUAUUAGUCUAUAUAUGUGAUUAAUUAGUUUCUAUGUAUGCGGAGAUGAUGUUUGCUUAGAAAAAGAGUACUUUGGGAGAUGAAUUGGUGCGGUAUGGUUAAAUUAGUAGUGCCAAGAAUAUGCUUAUUAAUUCUAGCACUUUGCCGAUGAGAGUUAUUAGUGUUGCUUGAAUGAACACCUAAUGUGUGAUGACAUGAAUGCCUUGUCUUAGGAUGUUUCAAGAACAUAGUAAUUAUAGAAGCUAAAAUUUUUAGAAACUAAAUAGGAACUAAAUUAAUUUUUGUUGUUUGGGAUUGCAUGACCAGUUUUAGUUAUGCAACUACUUCAAUGAAGUGAACCAUGUUUUCUAUAGUAAUGGUAUAUAGGAAAGUUGUAGAGAACUUCUUUAUCUUACUUGUGUAAAAAUUUCAUAACCAUAGGUGUAGUAGUUUAGGAGUUAUGAUUUUUCCAAGUCCAGUUUCAGAAUCUGUCCAGAUUCUGUACAGGUUUCGAAAACUGCCUUGUUUGAUUAAGGUAAACUAAAAAUUAGCCCUUAGUAAUUAUAAAAGAAUUGUAGUACUUUGCUUAAUCUUUCCAACAAAUUUUGGAGCACCCUUUUUGGUGGUCUAGAGACCAAGUUAAAGCUGUUUGAACUAUAGAGUCUGAAUCUGUCCAAAUCUGGACAACAAUGUUUGUGUGUAUUAACCGACUUCGAUACACAUUGAAUCACUUUGAGAUGAUUAUAAAUGAAUUAUAGAUAAUUCUUUUAGCUUUCUAAAAAGUCUAGGAUCACCUGAUUUGGAUUUCUGAAACUCCAGUUAUGGAUUUUUGAGGUGAAGAGCCGAAUUUUGUUCAAAUCUGGACAGAAUUAAAGUUUAGCACUGUUUGACCAUUCAAACUGUCGAAUCAUGUUGUGAUGAUAAUAUAAGAGUUAUAGAGGACUGUCUAAGCUUUCCAGAAAGUCUUAGUUUACUAUUUUUGGAUGCCUAUUUUGUGAGUUAUGAGCUAAACAAAUGGUUGCUGUUCUGCUGUCCAAAUUCAGCUAGUAUUAAAAUGACUAUAUGGAGUUUCUUUUGUGUGAAUACCUAGAUUUGGUUAGUUCUUGUCUUAGUUAAUGAAGUCUUAUAACUGCAUAUGGAUGUUUCUUAAUGUUCGGAUUAGGUUCGAGUAAAUUGGAGAACAUGAUCGUUGUGUUGGGGUAUAUAAACCUAUCUAGUGCUUAAUUAAGACUGUUUGUGACAUCUUGCCAUUAAGUAUUAGUGUUAUUUGUGUGAAUUUCUAUUGUUUGGUUGCUUGCAUACCUUGUCUUAAAAAGUUUCAUCUUCUAUAUUAAUUGCUUAAGUUAAUAAAUCACGGAGGAUGGAGAUUUAUUUAUGGUUAUUACUGGUUUGUCAUAUUGAUUCUAUCAGGUCAUGUCGUUUAAGUGUUCUCCAUUGCUAAUAGAAAGUUAGUAAGGGAUAGUAUUUUGGAUUUAUAUAUCUCUAAGCCUUUUCAUGUUGUGACUUGAGUUUUUGGUUGGGGAGUAAAGUAUCCAGGUAGUAAUGAUCAUGCAGCUUAAUUAACUGGUAAUUCAUUGAUUACAAUACGGGUGACUUGGAAUUAGCUUUGGCUAUGCCCUUAUGCUUACGUAGUUGCAAAUAAAUGCUUAAUCAAAUAUGCCUUGUUGUCUAAAUAUGAUGUAUUGUUUUCUUGAUAUUUGGUUAGGUCCAUUUGACUAGAAAGUCAUGACUGAUAUAGAAUUAAAUGUAUCUAGUAGUUAUCCCAAGGGUUGUAAUGUUUGUUUUAAGUAUUAUCCUCUUUAGUAUAGCUUAUCUAUAUUGUGCUUUUUUAUGUCCAUGCUCAUGUGCAUUAUGCAUAUCAUUUAGGUACGAUAAGUGAUCACGUGAUGUGAAGGACUAGAGCUCGGUCGACCACAAGAUGGUGUUAAGUAUUGGUUUCUUCGCAAGGUGAUGCUAAUGAACAAACUUAAGGAUGGACAGACUGAACCAGUGCCAACACACAAGGCUGGUCGCCAAGUGGUCAUCGUCUAACAACACUAACCUAGUGUUAUCCCAGGCAAGCCCCAGUGCAUUUGCCACCUCCUUGCUGUUUUAAAAACAUUUUAUCACUUAUAUGCUGCAUUAGGUGGUAGGAGUUGAAUGGGUAAACCUUUGCUGCAUAACUUCCUUGAAUUAUUGAUUAUCAUCCUUGAUACCUGAUUUGAAAAUCUAGAUAUGCUUAGCCUGCUUAUAGACAAGGAACAAAAUAUUUUGAUGUAUGAAUCAUGUUUUUACAAAGAAAAAGGGGCUGGAAUGAUGAAGGUAUCAAAGGUCUUGAUGACUUCAUCAUUUCGGUAGGGUACCUCUAAUAGGUUCCAGAUUUUCAGAAUUAUUUUAAUAUGAGACCAGACGUUGAGCAGGAAAGGUCGCCCGUUUGUGUCGAUUAAGGACCGUACCGAAAGUAGGCUUGCUGAUCUAGGACCCUUUAACUGGCCACAUGCCUCAUCAUGGGUAAGCUUAGCCUCGGUCGGACCAAUACCAGAAAGGCCGGCCUGCAAUGGGAGUGGAGAGAUGGCGAGAGUAUCGUGUAUCCACCUGGCAAGAGGCUGGAUGGUGGGGUACUGAGCUCUCGGUUAGCGGGGACCUGUUCUGGUCUUAAGAAACCCGUGGGCGAGUUGACAUAUGCAAGGGUUAAGUGCUACAUAUGUCGUGUGGUUGGAGAUCCUCAGCUGAGUAUUAAUCGAUUCGGAUCGCUGUUACUUCUCGGAUAUGAAGACUAGAUCACUGCCCUGCAUCAUAAUUAACAAGUGAAACUAAAGAUGUUAAAAUGAAGCUAGUGUAGAACAAUUGAAUGCUCUAGAUUAGGCAAAUCUAGAUUCAGGAAAAGUACUUAAUUUGUGAAGUAAAAGUUGGCAUAAGGAUCCACUACUAGUAAGCUUUUCUGCAAAAACGAGUCUUUGAAAUUUGAUGAGCUUUACCUUGAUUCCCAACAAACCAGCAUAUCCUUGAGAGUCUUUUCUUUAGUCGGGUAAGUCUUGCUGAGUAAUUGCGUACUCAGGGCUUUAUUCCCUAUUGUUUUUCAG
rnacentral:lncRNA from 1 species